GGAAGGGACAGGACAUUCCACUUAGACAAUCAAACUUGAAGUGUUUACGGUCUAGGGUAGAUGUCCAACAGGGAGCAGGGACUAUCAAUCUGGAACUCAGAGACGAAACCAUGGAGUGACAGGUGCAGGUUAAGAGCCUGUUAGGUCCAAAAUGGUGCCCCAGAAAUUCAAGUUAAGUCAAGCCCAUGUUGGAAGACCACCAGAUGUUCUUCUCUAAUGACGAGCUCUGAGGAAUCCCCAAAUGAUGUCCUCCUUGUUCUCCCCUGGUACACUGAGUCUGCAGACCAUCCAGAAGGAUCCUGCUGCCCCCAUGUGCCUUUGUUCUUGGUAUGUCAGUGCCAUUAUACUCCAAAUUCUCCAUUUGAUGGAGAGAAUCUGUCCCUCUGGAAUUACGAGAUUUAUAUGCACAGUUUGCAAAUAAAGCAUCAUAGCCUUUAUUUUCUGUAUCAAAAUCACCCUGAUCCAUAAUAUGAGUCUUUGCUUUGGGAUACAUGUUGUCAUUUUGAUGAACAUUCCUGUCCCCUUCAUGGUAUUUGAUAAAUUCCUUAUCUUCAUUGACACCAUUCGAAUCUGAAAAGCUCACAGGCUGACCAUCAGGAUAACUCCCAGGAACAUGAUAUAAAUUGCUGUGUUCUCUACAAUAAAAAUUAGUUGCCCAACAAUCCUCAAGAUUAUGGUUAACAUUCUCAUGGUCUAUAUACCACAACUGAGGUUGACCUAAAUUCGCUGAAGAAUCAUCCAAACCCCUACAGUCAGUCAACUGUUCAGCUUUUUUAGAGUCCUCAGGAUUAUAAUUCAGAUUCUUACAGUCUGAGUAGCCAUUUGCCUCCCCGUAUCCACCAGCUUUCGAGGUCACAUCUGGGCUUCUCGUAGGUGAAUUAUCCUUCGUCCCAGGGCUGAGACUCUCAUAAUCUACAUUUUCUGGACUCCUAUAACCAUCAUGACCUCCGUGGUACACACAGCCCUUUCCACUUUCAUGUGCUUCCCCACAGUCCAUAUAGCUUGGUUCACUCUGUUCAAAAUCCCAGUAUCCACAAUCCCUUUUUCUGUAGGGCUGAUGCUGUCCCUUGGCCCAGUACCUGGGAUCCAAGUCAUUUUCUCUGUAGAGUCCAUCCAGCACUGUAAGGUUCCUUUUCCGUACACUCCCGUAGUCUUCAUACUCCCAGCUGGAGUCCCAGUGCCUUUUCUCCUCCACUUCCCUUUCUUUUCUAGCCUUCUGGGUUUCACACAUAUUCUAUGUGCUUAAAGACAAAGGUUUUACUAUUCUUUUCCAUGGGCCUGGGCUGGGCUGU
rnacentral:lncRNA from 1 species